AAAUUGAAGAGUUUGAUCAUGGCUCAGAUUGAACGCUGGCGGCAGGCCUAACACAUGCAAGUCGAACGGUAACAGGAAGCAGCUUGCUGCUUCGCUGACGAGUGGCGGACGGGUGAGUAAUGUCUGGGAAACUGCCUGAUGGAGGGGGAUAACUACUGGAAACGGUGGCUAAUACCGCAUAACGUCGCAAGACCAAAGAGGGGGACCUUCGGGCCUCUUGCCAUCAGAUGUGCCCAGAUGGGAUUAGCUUGUUGGUGAGGUAACGGCUCACCAAGGCGACGAUCCCUAGCUGGUCUGAGAGGAUGACCAGCCACACUGGAACUGAGACACGGUCCAGACUCCUACGGGAGGCAGCAGUGGGGAAUAUUGCACAAUGGGCGCAAGCCUGAUGCAGCCAUGCCGCGUGUAUGAAGAAGGCCUUCGGGUUGUAAAGUACUUUCAGCGGGGAGGAAGGUGUUGUGGUUAAUAACCGCAGCAAUUGACGUUACCCGCAGAAGAAGCACCGGCUAACUCCGUGCCAGCAGCCGCGGUAAUACGGAGGGUGCAAGCGUUAAUCGGAAUUACUGGGCGUAAAGCGCACGCAGGCGGUCUGUCAAGUCGGAUGUGAAAUCCCCGGGCUCAACCUGGAACUGCAUUCGAUGAAUUCCAGGUGUAGCGGUGAUAUUCGUAGAGAUCUGGAGCAAUACCGGUGGCGAAGGCGGCCCCCUUGACAAAGACUGCCGCUCAGGUGCGAAAGCGUGGGGAGCAAACAGGAUUAGUUACCGUGGUAGUCCACGCCGUAAACGAUGUCUACUUGGAGGUUGUGCCCGCCGAGGCGUGGCUUCCGGAGCUAACGCGUUAAGUAGACCGCCUGGGGAGUACGGCCGCAAGGUUAAAACUCAAAUGAAUUGACGGGGGCCCGCACAAGCGGUGGAGCAUGUGGUUUAAUUCGAUGCAACGCGAAGAACCUUACCUGGUCUUGACAUCCACAGAAGAAUCCAGAGAUGGAUUUGUGCCUUCGGGAACUGUGAGACAGGUGCUGCAUGGCUGUCGUCAGCUCGUGUUGUGAAAUGUUGGGUUAAGUCCCGCAACGAGCGCAACCCUUAUCCUUUGUUGCCAGCGAUUAGGUCGGGAACUCAAAGGAGACUGCCAGUGAUAAACUGGAGGAAGGUGGGGAUGACGUCAAGUCAUCAUGGCCCUUACGACCAGGGCUACACACGUGCUACAAUGGCGCAUACAAAGAGAAGCGACCUCGCGAGAGCAAGCGGACCUCAUAAAGUGCGUCGUAGUCCGGAUUGGAGUCUGCAACUCGACUCCAUGAAGUCGGAAUCGCUAGUAAUCGUGGAUCAGAAUGCCACGGUGAAUACGUUCCCGGGCCUUGUACACACCGCCCGUCACACCAUGGGAGUGGGUUGCAAAAGAAGUAGGUAGCUUAACCUUCGGGAGGGCGCUUACCACUUUGUGAUUCAUGACUGGGGUGAAGUCGUAACAAGGUAACCGUAGGGGAACCUGCGGUUGGAUCACCUCCUUACCUUAAAGAAGC
rnacentral:rRNA from 1 species